rnacentral:rRNA from 1 species
CCUACGGGUGGCAGCAGUGAGGAAUAUUGGUCAAUGGGCGGAAGCCUGAACCAGCCAAGUAGCGUGCAGGAUGACGGCCCUACGGGUUGUAAACUGCUUUUAUACGGGAAUAACGCGCCUUACGUGUAGGGUUUUGCAUGUACCGUAUGAAUAAGGACCGGCUAAUUCCGUGCCAGCAGCCGCGGUAAUACGGAAGGUCCGGGCGUUAUCCGGAUUUAUUGGGUUUAAAGGGAGCGUAGGCCGCAUGUCAAGCGUGCUGUGAAAUGUCCGGGCUCAACCCGGGCCUUGCAGCGCGUACUGGCGUGCUUGAGUCCGCGGAAAGCAGGCAGAAUUCGUCGUGUAGCGGUGAAAUGCUUAGAUAUGACGAAGAACCCCGAUUGCGAAGGCAGCUUGCUGCAGAGGAACUGACGCUGAUGCUCGAAAGCGCGGGUAUCGAACAGGAUUAGAUACCCCUGUAGUC